AGUGAACGCUGGCGGUAGGCCUAACACAUGCAAGUCGAACGGCAGCACAGCAAGAGCUUGCUCUUACGGGUGGCGAGUGGCGGACGGGUGAGGAAUACAUCGGAAUCUACUUUUUCGUGGGGGAUAACGUAGGGAAACUUACGCUAAUACCGCAUACGACCUACGGGUGAAAGCAGGGGAUCUUCGGACCUUGCGCGAUUGAACGAGCCGAUGUCGGAUUAGCUAGUUGGCGGGGUAAAGGCCCACCAAGGCGACGAUCCGUAGCUGGUCUGAGAGGAUGAUCAGCCACACUGGAACUGAGACACGGUCCAGGCUCCUACGGGAGGCAGCAGUGGGGAAUAUUGGACAAUGGGCGCAAGCCUGAUCCAGCCAUACCGCGUGGGUGAAGAAGGCCUUCGGGUUGUAAAGCCCUUUUGUUGGGAAAGAAAAGCAGCAGGUUAAUACCCCGCUGUUCUGACGGUACCCAAAGAAUAAGCACCGGCUAACUUCGUG
rnacentral:rRNA from 1 species